rnacentral:rRNA from 1 species
GUCUAGGCCAUGCCACCCUGAACCCGCCCAAUCUCAUCUGAUCUCAGAAGCUAAGUAGGGUCGGGCCUGGUUAAUACUUAGAUGGGAGAUCGCCUAGGAAUACCGAGUGCUGUAGGCA